rnacentral:rRNA from 1 species
GUCAUUGGCCAUACCACCCGGCACAUGUCUGACCUCCUCUGAUUGGGGAAGCUAAGCGGGGUCAAGCCUGGUUAGGACUUCGAUGAAGAGCUGGAGAAGUCAAUGGCU